rnacentral:sRNA from 1 species
UGGUACGGUUGGCGUAAUUGCUUUUAAGAAAUC